rnacentral:rRNA from 1 species
UACGGGGGGAGCAAGCGUUGUUCGGAUUUACUGGGCGUAAAGGGCGCGUAGGCGGCCACCGCAAGUCGGUUGUGAAAUCUCUGGGCUUAACCCAGAAAGGUCAACCGAUACUGCGGGGCUAGAGUGCAGAAGGGGCAACUGGAAUUCUCGGUGUAGCGGUGAAAUGCGUAGAUAUCGAGAGGAACACCAGUGGCGAAGGCGAGUCCCUGGACAUCUCCUGACACUGAGGCACGAAAGCUAGGGGAGCAAACAGG